CGUACACUCCUGCGGGAGGCAGCAGUGGGGAAUAUUGCACAAUGGGCGCAAGCCUGAUGCAGCCAUGCCGCGUGUAUGAAGAAGGCCUUCGGGUUGUAAAGUACUUUCAGCGGGGAGGAAGGCGAUAAGGUUAAUAACCUUGUCGAUUGACGUUACCCGCAGAAGAAGCACCGGCUAACUCCGUGCCAGCAGCCGCGGUAAUACGGAGGGUGCAAGCGUUAAUCGGAAUUACUGGGCGUAAAGCGCACGCAGGCGGUCUGUCAAGUCGGAUGUGAAAUCCCCGGGCUCAACCUGGGAACUGCAUUCGAAACUGGCAGGCUAGAGUCUUGUAGAGGGGGGUAGAAUUCCAGGUGUAGCGGUGAAAUGCGUAGAGAUCUGGAGGAAUACCGGUGGCGAAGGCGGCCCCCUGGACAAAGACUGACGCUCAGGUGCGAAAGCGUGGGGAGCAAACAGGAUUAGAAACCCCUGUAGUCCCA
rnacentral:rRNA from 1 species